rnacentral:tRNA from 1 species
GGGCCUGUGGCUCAGCCAGGAUAGAGCGCCAGCCUCCUAAGUUGGUGAUCGCGCGUUCAAAUCGCGUCAGGCCCGCCA